rnacentral:rRNA from 1 species
AUUUAAAGUCUAGCCUGCCCACUGAAAUUAAUUUUAAUGGCCGCAGUAUUUUGACUGUGCAAAGGUAGCAUAAUCAUUAGUUUUUUAAUUGAAAGCUUGUAUGAAAGGUUGGACGAGGUAAAAUCUGUCUCUAUUUAAUUUAUUUUAGAAUUUAAUUUUUAAGUUAAAAAGCUUAAAUUUUAUUAAAAGACGAGAAGACCCUAUAGAUCUUUAUAAUUUUUUUUAUAAAUUUAAUUAUGAAUUAUUUAGAAUUUAUAAUAUAAAUUAUUUUAUUGGGGUAAUAAAAAGAUUAAAAUAAUUCUUUUUUAUUUUUAACAUUAAUUUAUGAAUUUAAUGAUCCAAUUUUAUUGAUUAUAAGAUUAAGUUACCUUAGGGAUAACAGCGUAAUUUUUUUAGAGAGUUCAUAUCGAUAAAAAAGUUUGCGACCUCGAUGUUGGAUUAAAGAUUAGUUUAGGUGUAGAAGUUUAAAUUUUUGGUCUGUUCGACCAUUAAAUCUUUACAUGAUCUGAGUUCAGACCGGCGUAAGCCAGGUCGGUUUCUAUCUUUAAUAAUUUUAAAAUAUUUUAGUACGAAAGGACCAAAUAUUUAAUAUAUUUAUAUUUUAUUUUUUGAAUAUUAUU